rnacentral:lncRNA from 1 species
UUGCCUUUUGCCUUGAACCCCCUGUGAAAUAUGAUGAUAUUUUGUUUUGGUGACGGACUAAUCUCAUAAAUGCUUGAGAUAUCAAAACUUAAAAUAAUUUUUAUAAGCUAUAUGAUGUGGCAAUUGAUGGUUGGACUCAUUUUUUAAAUUAUUAAAAAAAAGUUCAACUAUCAACGGCCACCUCAUGUGGUCUAUAAAUCCUUAAUUAAGAAGUAAAAUAAAAUAAUAGACUAAUAAUUAAUUCCCUUAAAGCCUUUUUGUAUUGCCAAAAAUUGUUCCAUAGAGGAAUCAUUGCACUGCUGCCGCAUAAGCAGUAGUUCAUCAUGGGAUCAAACUCUUUCUCGCGAAAUAUGCACGUAAAAAAUUAUUAUAGGCACCCAAGUCUUCGUUUUAUAUUCUUAUUUUUUAUGUAGCUCCACUAUCGUAUGUCUAAAGAUCAAAACAAUAUAAUUCAGUGCAUCUAAUCCAUUCAAAUGUACAAAAUUCAAAAUAAUAAAUGAUAGAAAUAUAUGAAAAUAUGACCACAUCAGUCCCCACAUGAGCGUAGGUGGAAUAUGAGAGUAGUAUUCUCUUGAAAUUCCUUUCCCACCAUCUAAGUCCUAACCAUAUAUAAUGUUGGUUUUACCGCGUCCAUAAUAUAGGAACCAAGUCCUAACUCUGGAAAAUUAAUAUUUGGUU